rnacentral:lncRNA from 1 species
CACAGUUUAUCUUCUUAAACAUUUAUUUUAAACCUAACCUUAAGCCUAGCCCCAACUUUAAAUUAAGACCAAAAAUAUCAAUUUUGUUUUCAUUAAUUUGUACAAUAUAGCCAAUUCUGACUUUGUAGCUGUGGUAGCUAGUGGAAAGCCCAAGUGGUCCCCAGUCGCUAUUCAUUGACGUCGCGGUAUUAUGUACUGUAUUUUCCUGCUUUCUUUUUUUCUUGUAGCUAGCCUGCUAGCUAGUUGACAACAAUGGGCGAUAGUGAGCAGGUAGAGUGGACGUUUAUGAAAUUAUACCUUAACGAUAUUGGAAACACUCUUUCAGAUAAAUCUGGAACACGGAUGUCGAAAAGAAGAAUGGCUGAACGAACCAGAGGUAACUCAUUUCUGUUUUUUAAGACUACAAGCUGGGGAGCUCUAUAGGGUCUGGUUCCAGCAGAUACCUUCUCACGCCACAGACGCAGUGAGACAUAUGGGAUGAGACAGGAUGUUGAAUGGUGCUAGUUUGUACUAGCUAGAGUGUGUGCUAGGUAGGUAGUUUGUACUAGCUAGAGUGUGUGCUAGGUAGGUAGUUUGAACUAGCUAGGUAGGUAGUUUGUGGUAGGUAAUUUGAACUAGCUAGGUAGGUAGUUUGUACUAGCUAGAGUGUCUGCUAGGUAGGUAGUUUGUACUAGCUAGAGUGUCUGCUAGGUAGGUAGUUUGUACUAGCUAGAGUGUCUGCUAGGUAGGUAGUUUGUACUAGCUAGAGUGUCUGCUAGGUAGGUAGUUUGUACUAGCUAGAGUGUGUGC